GCCGUUAAGACGUUUCUCUGUGCUCGUGUGAUUCUUUAGCAUUUAAUUUGACAAAACCGCGAUAUAUUUCAUCGAAGAAAAAGCGUUAUUUAGUUGUAACGACAUGUACGGUGUGCUGGGUAGUUUUUACUUGCGUUUGUACACUGUAUAAACUUUUACGCAUACGGCUGCGAUCUUAACAACUAUUAGUAUGUGUCGACGCUGAAUUGUGUGUAGUGCUUGUCGUCAGUUUUGAUUUACUUUUAUAUUUACCGUAGCCAAUUAGUUUCUCAUCGCUUGGAAAGCUGUUUGCGCUUGUACAUACCUUGUCGCGGGUUCUCGUCGACGCUAUGCUGUUAUUUCUUUGAUUACGUGUCAAAUUGGUAAGUUUGUGAAUAUUAUUACAUCAUGAUUUCAUUCAUGAUGUAGCGUGAACUUUUUCAAUCACUCAAGGAGUUUUUACUGUCAGCACGCACUAUUUAAUUGUAUUCUUAAUUCUGUAAUCGGUUUAACGCGUUUAAAAGUUUGAUAAUUAAUUAUAUAUGAGACGUUUUUUAUGUAACGUGAGUACCGUAAUAACUCAAAAUUGACGCGUGCCGUCGGAUGCGUCGUCGGUUUCACUGCAGACUUUGCUUUUUCCAUGUCAAUCAUCGAUUUAAUAGCGUGAAAAUUUCUUCGUUCGUAUUUUUUUAUGUCAUAAUGCUCUAAUCGCGGAGACGUGUUUUAAUAGACAAUUUAAAUUUCUUCCCGCGUGUGUACACAUUUUGCCUUGCUUGUGGCGUAUCUGGAGAACCCGUCGCAAAGAAAAUUUUAGGAUCAGAAUAAAAUUCAUAUUGAUGUUUUAUUUAUCUAUCACUUUUCUACCUUUUCUUUUUUAAUUUUACAUUUAUUAAAUUUAAAUUUUCUUUGAUUCUUCUUCUAGCUCUCUAUUCUUUAUUCAAAAUGUAGUUGUAGUUUUGUUGUGUCACCCUCUCGUGAAUCCAAUUCUCUGCAUCGAAAAUUUUGAAUUUUCUAAUUAAAUGUAACUAUUUUCUUCUCAUAUCACCCUAUGUAUUACUUUUCCUUGCUCUCUAAUGUAAAACUGACAAAAUUUGUCGUUUUCGGGUCGUUUUCUACUUAAAAUUUGUAUUUUAUUUUUAAAUUAAGGAAUUUGCUAUUUGUAUCACCUUGUAUGUUUGUUUUUCUUGAUUUUCCAUCAUAAGAUUUCUAAAUUUGAUAUUCCCGAGUGUUUUCUUUCAUGAAUUUUUGAAUUUCUUUUUGUAGCACCCUGUAUAUUUGUUUUCCUUGUCCGUGAAAAUUUAGCUUUAACUGUUGUUUUUAGGUUUUUCUUCUUUGCACUUUGAAUUUUCUAUUUGUAACACCCUGUAUAUUAGUUUUCCUGAUUGUCGAUGAAAACGAGCGGCGUUUGUAGUUUUGAGAGUUUUAUUUUUGCACUUUAAAUUUUCCUUUUGUAACACCCUGUAUAUUUGUUUCCAUUUUCAAUCACCUAGAAAAUGGGCUAUUUACUAAUUUCAUUAUUCCGGUAGAACUUUAUGAAGUAGUACUUGCUGGCAUGUGCGCGGCUAUGCAGGUCGUAACUCCUAUU